GGGGGAUUAACUCAGCGGUCAGAGUGCUACUUUCACAUAGUAGAAGUCGUAGGUUCAAUUCCUAUAUCCCCCACCA
rnacentral:tRNA from 1 species